rnacentral:rRNA from 1 species
GAACGCUGGCGGCGUGCCUAAUACAUGCAAGUCGAGCGAGGGUCUUCGGACCCUAGCGGCGGACGGGUGAGUAACACGUAGGCAACCUGCCUGUAAGACUGGGAUAACAUAGGGAAACUUAUGCUAAUACCGGAUAGGGUUUUGCUUCGCCUGAAGCGAAACGGAAAGAUGGCGCAAGCUAUCACUUACAGAUGGGCCUGCGGCGCAUUAGCUAGUUGGUGAGGUAAYGGCUCACCAAGGCAACGAUGCGUAGCCGACCUGAGAGGGUGACCGGCCACACUGGGACUGAGACACGGCCCAGACUCCUACGGGAGGCAGCAGUAGGGAAUUUUCCACAAUGGACGAAAGUCUGAUGGAGCAACGCCGCGUGAACGAUGAAGGCUUUCGGGUCGUAAAGUUCUGUUGUUAGGGAAGAAACAGUGCUAUUUAAAUAAGGUAGCACCUUGACGGUACCUAACGAGAAAGCCACGGCUAACUACGUGCCAGCAGCCGCGGUAAUACGUAGGUGGCAAGCGUUGUCCGGAAUUAUUGGGCGUAAAGCGCGCGCAGGUGGCUAUGUAAGUCUGAUGUUAAAGCCCGAGGCUCAACCUCGGUUCGCAUUGGAAACUGUGUAGCUUGAGUGCAGGAGAGGAAAGUGGUAUUCCACGUGUAGCGGUGAAAUGCGUAGAG